CGCGGCCUAUCAGCUUGUUGGUGAGGUAAUGGCUCACCAAGGCGUCGACGGGUAGCCGGCCUGAGAGGGUGACCGGCCACACUGGGACUGAGACACGGCCCAGACUCCUACGGGAGGCAGCAGUGGGGAAUAUUGCACAAUGGGCGCAAGCCUGAUGCAGCAACGCCGCGUGAGGGACGACGGCCUUCGGGUUGUAAACCUCUUUUAGCAGGGAAGAAGCGAAAGUGACGGUACCUGCAGAAAAAGCGCCGGCUAACUACGUGCCAGCAGCCGCGGUAAUACGUAGGGCGCAAGCGUUAUCCGGAAUUAUUGGGCGUAAAGAGCUCGUAGGCGGUUUGUCGCGUCUGCUGUGAAAUCCGGAGGCUCAACCUCCGGCCUGCAGUGGGUACGGGCAGACUAGAGUGCGGUAGGGGAGAUUGGAAUUCCUGGUGUAGCGGUGGAAUGCGCAGAUAUCAGGAGGAACACCGAUGGCGAAGGCAGAUCUCUGGGCCGUAACUGACGCUGAGGAGCGAAAGGGUGGGGAGCAAACAGGCUUAGAUACCCUGGUAGUCCACCCCGUAAACGUUGGGAACUAGUUGUGGGGUCCAUUCCACGGAUUCCGUGACGCAGCUAACGCAUUAAGUUCCCCGCCUGGGGAGUACGGA
rnacentral:rRNA from 1 species